rnacentral:pre_miRNA from 1 species
CCUCUGUAUAAUUUUCAUACUCAACUUUAAUAGUCUGUCUUAUUUAGAAUUUUUUUAUAGAUUAGUAUUUUUAUUGUUAUGAGAUGUUAAAAUAUGAAUAGUAGUUUAUAUGUGACUUAUGUUUUUUAAAAAAAAUUUAAAAAAAAUAAAUAAGAAGAACGGUCAAAAUUAUGCACGAAAAAUGAUAGCUGCAUUUAAA